rnacentral:lncRNA from 1 species
CGAGGCCGGGCGGGUGGGCGCCGCCGGCAGGCAGGUUGUGAAGCCGGGGACGGCGGCCGGCACGGGGAGCCCUGGCGUCGUAUUGUUCUCCCUGACAGAUAACGCGAUCUUGACCAGAAGCACCGCGAGCCACCUCACUCCAGGCAAGCCCUUAGCAAAGGAGCAACAAGAGCGCCCGGCGGGAUCAGCAACAACAACAACAACAAGGGCACCGGGAGGGCUUCCCUCCUUCCUCCUCGGUGACUUCCCAGGUGGGACCCUCUUCUGAUAUGUGAUCUACAGCAAGCUACUUUGAAUCGUACGAUGACAAUGUUAUCACUGCCACAUCUCUGGGAACCAGUUAUUCAUAAGUAUACGGUGGAAGAGAGAGUCAACAGCCAUAUUUGCUGGAGCGGUGAACCAAAUUGCCUUGACUGGAACCAUUACUCACUUGCACAUUUGACAGCAGCAGCCAGCUUGAGGAUCCUAGUUACAGUGAUCUGUUCAACUUCUCGGCCGUUCCGCCCCUUGCUUGGGUCUGCCAAAGGAAGGUGUCCCAUCUUCUCCACCAGAUUUCCGCUCGAGCUUUCCUGGGUAGAGCAGUGCCUCCACAGAUGCCGGUGCGUUACACAAGCUGGGGCGCAGAGAGGCCGAGACGAGGAUACGUGAUCAACAGAUGAAGCAGCAGAAUGUUAAUAAUACAAGACACCUAAUUGGACCUGCCCUUUCGCCCAGAAGUGAGGACAUAUGUCAGCACGCAGCAGGCGCCAGGCCUGUGGCAACCUGCUCCCACCUCCUACAGGUCUUCACGAGGAAAAAAUUGCAUUAUGAGCUGAGCUGCUUGCCUGCUGUAAUUGCCAAUAAAGC